ACAAACUUGGUCAUUUAGAGGAAGUAAAAGUCGUAACAAGGUUUCCGUAGGUGAACCUGCGGAAGGAUCAUUCACAAUAAGUGUUUUAUGGCACUUUAAUCCCAUAUCCACCUUGUGUGCAACGUCGGCCGUUGUGUCUUCUUCGUCAGAAGAGGACCACGACCACAAUCAACCUAAUUUUGUCAACGAUAUCGUCUGAAAUAAUGUAUGAAUAAACAAAUUCAAAUACAACUUUCAACAACGGAUCUCUUGGCUCUCGCAUCGAUGAAGAACGCAGC
rnacentral:misc_RNA from 1 species